rnacentral:tRNA from 1 species
CGGGAUGUGGCUCAGUCUGGCUAGAGCGCAGCGUUCGGGACGCUGAGGCCGGAGGUUCGAAUCCUCUCAUCCCGACCA